rnacentral:rRNA from 1 species
UAGGGAAUCUUCGGCAAUGGACGAAAGUCUGACCGAGCAACGCCGCGUGAGUGAAGAAGGUUUUCGGAUCGUAAAACUCUGUUGUUAGAGAAGAACAAGGACGUUAGUAACUGAACGUCCCCUGACGGUAUCUAACCAGAAAGCCACGGCUAACUACGUGCCAGCAGCCGCGGUAAUACGUAGGUGGCAAGCGUUGUCCGGAUUUAUUGGGCGUAAACCGAGCGCAGGCGGUUUCUUAAGUCUGAUGUGAAAGCCCCCGGCUCAACCGGGGAGGGUCAUUGGAAACUGGGAGACUUGAGUGCAGAAGAGGAGAGUGGAAUUCCAUGUGUAGCGGUGAAAUGCGUAGAUAUAUGGAGGAACACCAGUGGCGAAGGCGGCUCUCUGGUCUGUAACUGACGCUGAGGCUCGAAAGCGUGGGGAGCAAACAGG